rnacentral:lncRNA from 1 species
GCGCCCUCCUAUUCCUAGGCUAUCCCACAGAAUAAUGCUGGAAGCUCCCAAACAAACCCUUAAUGAUUUGUAUGCUCCUAAAAAUCACAUCUGAUAAGGAAUCUAGUAUCCUAAUUUUCUUGGGUUCUGUGCAUGGAAUUAUCUCUCUUAUGGCUACCUAAAUUUUAUCUGCUAAUGCUGUCCCUUUAUUAAAUGUCAGUUAAAGUUGAGAACAUAUCCAUGCGAGGGACAUUUAUGUGCAUAUCUUCCUUGUGUGCCUGGAUGCAUUAUAAAAACAAGAUAAUCUAGUGAUUUUGUAUUGUUUGAAAUUAUAAUUGUAAUGAUUUCAUAAAUAUUGUUGUUUGUAUGCAACCAAAUUUAAAUUCAUUAAACUUUAGUUUAAAUCCUAUGCCAGCG